ACCGCCUCGAGAAGACCGACGAGAGCAGACCGCCUCGAGAAGACUGACGAGAGCAGACCGCCUCGAGAAGACUGACGAGAGCAGACUGCCUCGAGAAGACAGGUGAGAGCAGAAAAGACAGGUGAGAGCAGACCGCCUCGAGAAGACAGGUGAGAGCAGACCGCCUCGAGAAGACAGGUGAGAGCAGACCGCCUCGAGAAGACAGGAGAGAGCAGACCGCCUCGAGAAGACAGGUGAGAGCAGACCGCCUCGAGAAGACAGGAGAGAGCAGACCGCCUCCAGAAGACAGGUGAGAGCAUGAGGUUAUGGACUCACACAGUGGCUAAUUCUAGGACUAAAAAAGUAGCCUGGUACUUGUAAGAGAGCAGUGAGACUCAAA